CCUACGGGAGGCUGCAGUGGGGAAUAUUGCACAAUGGGGGAAACCCUGAUGCAGCGACGCCGCGUGAGUGAAGAAGUAAUUCGUUAUGUAAAGCUCUAUCAGCAGGGAAGAAAAUGACGGUACCUGAGUAAGAAGCCCCGGCUAACUACGUGCCAGCAGCCGCGGUAAUACGUAGGGGGCAAGCGUUAUCCGGAUUUACUGGGUGGAAAGGGAGCGUAGACGGCAGUGCACGUCUGGAGUGAAAGGCGGGGGCUCAACCCCCGGACUGCUAUGGAAACUGUACGGCUGGAGUGCAGGAGAGGUAAGUGGAAUUCCUAGUGUAGCGGUGAAAUGCGUAGAUAUUAGGAGGAACACCAGUGGCGAAGGCGGCUUACUGGACUGUAACUGACGUUGAGGCUCGAAAGCGUGGGGAGCAAACAGGAUUAGAUACCCGUGUAGUC
rnacentral:rRNA from 1 species